GUGUACUGUGUAUGUCUGGGCCGGGCCCGCCGCUGACCUCUGACGUCCUUGGCGCGGUGUGCAGCCCCGGACGGGCGGUCGGGCGGGUGGUGCAGCCAGUCCGUGGACGCCCGCGGCUGUGGACGGAGGGGUCGGCCAGCAGCAGCACACGGUCCGUCCGGUCGGCACACAGACGGCAGCAUGUUUCGGUUCGGCGCCAGGACGGGGCCCGGCUACGCCAGCCCGCGCGACGCCAUGACCAAGGGGCCGCGCGAGGAGCUCAUCUACGUGCCGUGCAUCGCGCCGGCCGGCAGACACGACUACCUGGCCACGGUCGACCUCAACAAACAGCAGGUGGUGCACCGGCUGGUGAUGCCACACAAGAACGACGAGCUGCACCACAGCGGCUGGAACGCGUGCUCCAGCUGCCACGGCGACUGCAGCCGGCGCCGCGACCGGCUGGUGCUUCCCGCUAUCGGCUCCAGCCGCGUCUACAUCGCCGACGUCAGCCGGCCGCGCGCGCCGGCGCUCCUCACCACGGUGGAGCCGGAGGAGCUGGCCGCUCUGAAUGUCUCCACGCCGCACACCACGCACUGCCUGGGCACCGGCGACAUCAUGAUCUCGACCAUGGGUGAUCGGAACGGCCAGGGGCGCGGCACCUUCAUCCUGCUCGACGGCAAGACGUUCAAACUCAAAGGGACGUGGCCGGCCGGGGACGCGGCGGCUCCGUUCGGCUACGACUUCUGGUACCAGCCGUACUUUGACGUGCUGAUCUCGACUGAGUGGGGCGCGCCGGCGGCGUUCAGCCGCGGCCUGGACCCCGCCGACCUGGCCGCCGGCCGGUACGGCACGCACCUCAACGUCUGGGGCUGGACCAGCCGCCGGCUCCUGCAGCGGAUUGACCUGGGCGCGGAGGGUGUGAUGCCGCUGGAGAUCCGGUUUCUGCACGACCCGAAGCAGCCGCAGGGGUUCGUCGGCUGCGCGCUGAACGCGGUCGUGUACCGCUUCUACCUGGAGCCCGACGGCAGCUGGGCCGCCGAAAAGGUCAUCCAGGUGCCGCCCAAGAGCGUCACCGGCUGGAUGCUGCCAGAGAUGCCCGGUGUGAUGACGGACAUCCUGCUGUCGCUGGACGACCGGUACCUGUACUUCUCCAACUGGGCGCACGGCGACGUGCGGCAGUACGACGUCAGCGACCCGCGCCGGCCGCGCCUGGUGGGCCAGGUGUUCCUGGGCGGCAGCAUCGUCCGGGGCGGCCCGGUCACCGUCACCCGAGAUACCGAGCUCACGGCGCAGCCGGAGCCCGUCUAUAUCAAGGGCCGCCGGAUCGAGGGCGCGCCGCAGAUGCUGCAGCUCAGCCUGGACGGCCGUCGGCUCUACGUCACCGACUCGCUCUACUCGCCCUGGGACAAACAGUUCUACCCGCAGAUGGUGAAGCGCGGCACCAUGAUGCUGCAGAUUGACGUUGACACGGAGCGCGGCGGACUGAGCCUCAACAAGGACUUCCUGGUGGACUUUCACGACGAGCCGGACGGCCCCGUGCUGGCCCACGAGAUGAGGUACCCGGGCGGAGACUGCACCUCCGACAUCUGGCUGGCUCCCGAGGCAACAAAGCCGUGCAGUCUCUGAGCGGACCGCGGACAGACUGGACAGUCUGUGAGCAGCCCGCGGACAGACUGGACAGUCUGUGAGCAGAUCACGGACAGACUGUACAGUCUGUGAGCAGCCCGCGGACAGACUGGACAGUCUGUGAGCAGACCACGGACAGACUGGAGAGUCUGAUGGGGACCCGCGGACAGACUGGAGAGUCUGUAGUCUGUUGGGGACCCGCGGACAGAAGGGUCAAACCAGUGAGCAGCGAGGUGUGUCCUUGUAUGUACAUAGGGCCCCUCGUGUGUCGAUGGACCGUCUGAUGAGUGAGGCCGGCCGGCUGUCGGAGCGGAGCGGAGGGACAGCCGAGCGAGCCCCGCCGACAGCGAGCGCUGCGGCCGGCCAGCGGCGCGACCGGGGCGACAUCUAUUCGGGUGCUGGUGUCGCCAUCUGUGAUGGCUGGGAGCUGGUCGCUGAGCCAUCUGUGAUGGCAGUACAUACCUACUGGUGAAUUAACCAUGGAUCGUGCAAUUGUUCUACACAUCGUGAAAUAUGAAUUAUUAAAUGUAAGUUGACGCAAUGUAUAUAAUAAAUUACGUAAGGGUUUAUUUCA